rnacentral:rRNA from 1 species
UAGUCCACGCCGUAAACGAUGAUUACUCGCUGUAGGCGAUACACAGUCUGUGGCUAAGCGAAAGUUUUAAGUAAUCCACCUGGGGAGUACGAUCGCAAGAUUGAAACUCAAAGGAAUUGACGGGGGCCCGCACAAGCGGAGGAACAUGUGGUUUAAUUCGAUGAUACGCGAGGAACCUUACCUGGACUUAAAUGUGCGUUGCAUAGAUCAGAGAUGGUCUUUUCUUCGGACUACGUACAAGGUGCUGCAUGGUUGUCGUCAGCUCGUGCCGUGAGGUGUCGGGUUAAGUCCCAUAACGAGCGCAACCCCUUUUGUAGUUGCCAGCACGUAAUGGUGGGGACUCUAGCAAUACUGCCGGCGUAAGCCGCGAGGAAGGUGGGGACGACGUCAAAUCAUCAUGGCCUUUAUGCCUAGGGCGACACACGUGCUACAAUGGUCAGGACAGAGGGUAGCCAACCCGCGAGGGGGAGCCGAAAUCUCAGAAACCUGAUCUCAGUUCGGAUUGG